UACGUAGGGUGCGAGCGUUGUCCGGAAUUAUUGGGCGUAAAGGGGCUCGUAGGCGGUUUGUCGCGUCGGGAGUGAAAAUCCAGGGCUUAACUCUGGACUGGCUUCCGAUACGGGCAGACUAGAGGUAUGCAGGGGAGAACGGAAUUCCUGGUGUAGCGGUGAAAUGCGCAGAUAUCAGGAGGAACACCAAUGGCGAAGGCAGCUCGCUGGGACGUGACUGACGCUGAGACGCGAAAGCGUGGGAGCAAACAGG
rnacentral:rRNA from 1 species